AUCAUUUACAAACAUGUACUUCUCUGUCACAUUGAACUUUUUUUUCUACUCUUUAAGAUGAAACAUAAAUCCUGUGAAAAUUGAAGGAAGUCAAUGGAAAGAAAAGUGAAGAUAUUAUUGACAACCGUAAUCUUGAUGGAAAAUGAAGUAUAACAAACUUUUAAAUAAUCAUGUGCCACUUUCAAAUUGUUAAUUUGAGCAACGACCAAGAAAUUGGUUCAUAAAGUCAUAUCAAGAAUUACUUGAAUGUAUAGUCACUGAAGAAUGGAUUAUUUAUAGACUUAAAUUCGAUCAUAUAUGUAUGUAAAGGUCUUAAUUAAUGUAGGACGUGAAUGCAUGAAAAGGAAUUAGUGAAAUGUUGUAUUAAUUAUAGUCGUAGAGCAUCUUGCAAA